rnacentral:pre_miRNA from 1 species
CUGUGGUGAGGUAGUAAGUUGUGUUGUUGGAUGGGAUCAGGAUUGUGUACCCAUACAGGAGAUAACUAUACAACUUACUUCCUUCCUCAG